rnacentral:lncRNA from 1 species
GGAUCUUACGCUGUUGGACGAAUAAGCCAGAGUCUGCUUUUUUCUCUUUGCAGCUCAUCGUCAUAAGGACCUAUGUUUGUUUUUGAAAAAUCUGGAAUAUUGAUCUCCACUGUGGGUGUGUCAUGGGACCAGCAGGCAUGAGAGGCUGUGAGCCAGAAUUCCUUGAAUUCCCUGUGGCAAGGUCGAUCUCUGCAAGAUUGAAGAGGAGGCCCCCGACACACCGGCUCCUGACGGCAGCCAAGGCGACUGGAAAAGAUGGUCAGCAGGGAACAGCCAGAAGCACUAUAAAAAUGAAGGCUCACAGAUGA